GGCUCGGAUUUGGAGCCGCAGCCCCGCCCAAGAGGGCAAUUAAGGGUUAAUUAGGGCCAACUUUAAUUGCCUGGGGUCAUUCCCGGGGUUAAAUCCCAACUCUGGGGCGGCUCCAGGAGUUUUUCCGGCAAUCUGGGGGCUGGAAUUGGGAAUUUGGGAGCUGGAAUUGAGGAUUUGGUGCCUGGAUCGGGAAUUUUGGGGCCUGGAUUGGGAAUUUUGGGGCCAGGAUUGGGAAUUCUGGGUCUGGAACGAGGAAUUGAUGGGAAUUCCCUUUUCCUGUUGCUGUUUUUCCAGAGGUUUUUCCAACGGGAGCUUGGAAAAUGAAGGUCAGAGGCUGAGGGAGCCACAGCUGGAAGGGGCACCUGGAAUUCAGAGUCGGGGUCGGGAGGCGGCCGAGCCCGGAGCCGGGCCGGGAUAGAUGGACAAGCCAAGCAACUUCUGACUCCGCGGCUUUUCCGGGCUGAAAUUCCAUGGCAAUGUAUCCCACAAGGGUCUCUGGCGAGGAAUGCAACGGGCUGAACGCGCUGGCGGCCGACAGCGGCCCCGGCACGCGCCUGCGGAACCUUCCGGUGCUGCCCGACGCGCUGGAC